rnacentral:rRNA from 1 species
GGCGAGCGGCGGACGGGUGAGUAAUGCCUGGGAAAUUGCCCUGAUGUGGGGGAUAACCAUUGGAAACGAUGGCUAAUACCGCAUGAUAGCUUCGGCUCAAAGAGGGGGACCUUCGGGCCUCUCGCGUCAGGAUAUGCCCAGGUGGGAUUAGCUAGUUGGUGAGGUAAGGGCUCACCAAGGCGACGAUCCCUAGCUGGUCUGAGAGGAUGAUCAGCCACACUGGAACUGAGACACGGUCCAGACUCCUACGGGAGGCAGCAGUGGGGAAUAUUGCACAAUGGGCGCAAGCCUGAUGCAGCCAUGCCGCGUGUAUGAAGAAGGCCUUCGGGUUGUAAAGUACUUUCAGCAGUGAGGAAGGGGGUAUCGUUAAUAGCGGUAUUCUUUGACGUUAGCUGCAGAAGAAGCACCGGCUAACUCCGUGCCAGCAGCCGCGGUAAUACGGAGGGUGCGAGCGUUAAUCGGAAUUACUGGGCGUAAAGCGCAUGCAGGUGGUUUGUUAAGUCAGAUGUGAAAGCCCGGGGCUCAACCUCGGAAUUGCAUUUGAAACUGGCAGGCUAGAGUACUGUAGAGGGGGGUAGAAUUUCAGGUGUAGCGGUGAAAUGCGUAGAGAUCUGAAGGAAUACCGGUGGCGAAGGCGGCCCCCUGGACAGAUACUGACACUCAGAUGCGAAAGCGUGGGGAGCAAAACAGGAUUAGAUACCCUGGUAGUCCACGCCGUAAACGAUGUCUACUUGGAGGUUGUGGCCUUGAGCCGUGGCUUUCGGAGCUAACGCGUUAAGUAGACCGCCUGGGGAGUACGGUCGCAAGAUUAAAACUCAAAUGAAUUGACGGGGGCCCGCACAAGCGGUGGAGCAUGUGGUUUAAUUCGAUGCAACGCGAAGAACCUUACCUACUCUUGACAUCCAGAGAACUUAGCAGAGAUGCUUUGGUGCCUUCGGGAACUCUGAGACAGGUGCUGCAUGGCUGUCGUCAGCUCGUGUUGUGAAAUGUUGGGUUAAGUCCCGCAACGAGCGCAACCCUUAUCCUUGUUUGCCAGCGAGUAAUGUCGGGAACUCCAGGGAGACUGCCGGUGAUAAACCGGAGGAAGGUGGGGACGACGUCAAGUCAUCAUGGCCCUUACGAGUAGGGCUACACACGUGCUACAAUGGCGCAUACAGAGGGCGGCCAACUUGCGAAAGUGAGCGAAUCCCAAAAAGUGCGUCGUAGUCCGGAUUGGAGUCUGCAACUCGACUCCAUGAAGUCGGAAUCGCUAGUAAUCGUGGAUCAGAAUGCCACGGUGAAUACGUUCCCGGGCCUUGUACACACCGCCCGUCACACCAUGGGAGUGGGCUGCAAAAGAAGCAGGUAGUUUAACCUUCGGGAGGACGC